rnacentral:rRNA from 1 species
UGGGGAAUAUUGCACAAUGGGCGCAAGCCUGAUGCAGCCACGCCGCGUGUGUGAAGAAGGCCUUCGGGUUGUAAAGCACUUUCAGCGAGGAGGAAGGUGGUGAGCUUAAUACGCUCAUCAAUUGACGUUACUCGCAGAAGAAGCACCGGCUAACUCCGUGCCAGCAGCCGCGGUAAUACGGAGGGUGCAAGCGUUAAUCGGAAUUACUGGGCGUAAAGCGCACGCAGGCGGUUUGUUAAGUCAGAUGUGAAAUCCCCCGGGCUCAACCUGGGAACUGCAUUUGAAACUGGCAAGCUAGAGUCUCGUAGAGGGGGGUAGAAUUCCAGGUGUAGCGGUGAAAUGCGUAGAGAUCUGGAGGAAUACCGGUGGCGAAGGCGGCCCCCCUGGACGAAGACUGACGCUCAGGUGCGAAAA